rnacentral:rRNA from 1 species
AUUAAAGAGUUCUAUAACUCCCAAACCCAUGUGAACAUACCUAACGUUGCCUCGGCAGGUCGCACCUACCUUGUAGCACCCUACCCUGUAGGGCCUACCCGGGAGAUGCGGGUAAGCCUGCCGGCGGCCCACCAACCUCUGUUUGAUAUUGAAUUCUGAACAUAUAACUAAAUAAGUUAAAACUUUCAACAACGGAUCUCUUGGUUCUGGCAUCGAUGAAGAACGCAGCGAAAUGCGAUAAGUAAUGUGAAUUGCAGAAUUCAGUGAAUCAUCGAAUCUUUGAACGCAUAUUGCGCCCAUUAGUAUUCUAGUGGGCAGGACCGUUCGAGCGUCAUUUCGACCCUUAAGCCUUAGUUGCUUAGUGUUGGGAGCCUACGGCAACGUAGCUCCUCAAAGUUAGUGGCGGAGUUGGUUCACACUCUAGACGUAGUAAUUUUUUAUCUCGCCUAUUAGUUGGACUGAUCCCCUGCCGUAAAACCCCCAACUUAUCAAGGUUGACCUCGAAUCGGUUCAGACAAACUCGCUAAAUUGAAGCAUCUUAGUCAGCGA